CAAGCGAUUUGGCUCUUCUUAAGUUUGCAAAAGUGGAGACGGACACGUCCGGGACCGAGCGCUCAUUCCCGGCUUCCGAUGACGACGUGUCCUGCGACAACACCAGAGAACGAGCUCUCAGUAAUGGAACAUGUGAGCGUUUGUGUGUGUGCGCUCCCAGGCGGAGAAGAGAUGAAAUGAGAGAAAGCAGGAACCGACGGUGACCGGCAGGGAACAGCUUUGGGAUAGAGUCGGAGGGGUUGCUGUUCAGAAGCCCCUGGAAAAGAUCAAAACGACAAAAGGAGCUAGCAAAAAGUGGAAAGGAGCCACAGCAAAGAAAGUAAAGCUUGCACCCCGAAAUAGAAUCGACGUCUUGGUCAAGACGAUGCCAUGCAAGACUGGGAUCCAUUUCCUCUCACCUGCGCUCCUCCCCAAACAGCCGGGCCACCUCUUCUCGUCCGGGACUCCGCGUGCGUGCUCUUAGCUCUUGUUGCUUCUUUUCCGCACGGAAGGCUUCGCGGUAGGUCACCCUGCGCGCUCGCGGCACGUCCGAAAGCGCCGCGUACUGCCUGCCCGCGCGACCCCCUCUGCUAUUGGCGCAAGCGUCGCUCCCUCCGCCGCGGACCUCCCAGGCGGCGGUGGCGCCGCUGGGUUCCGAGUCCAGGGAGCUCUGGGAGGAACUGACGGUGGAGUAGCUAGGGGACGCGAGGGCUCCUGGGGAGGGGGGACAGGGGGGAAUUUGGCCUUCGGGUUCAGAGUUGUACCUGUGACCGGGAGCUCCUAAGGAACAGGAGGAGGUGGACGAGGACAGGGGGAGUUGCUGGGGUGGCUGCGCUGGUUGGGAAUUCUGUGCGGAUUUUGGAGAAGGCUCCGACUUGGUCUUUUCCAGGGAAAAGUAACCGCUCUCCACCCGUACUUUGCGUCCGCUGCUCAUCAUUCCACCAUCUGUAAUUCAUACAAGUUGUUGAUUUUUUCUUUUAUUUUUACUAAGCAAAUGAUUGUCCUAACCAUCUUGAGUAGUGACGGUGGAGUCGGGCUGGCUCUGGCCCAGCUGGCUAAGACAGGAGGCGCUGCGGCUACAGGGGAUGGUGGCCCGACUCCAGCGGUUCUCCUCCUGCCACAAAGUGGCCCGGCUCAUCGGGACGCGCUCGGCGCCGGCGAUGCCGCUGGGCAGGCUGCCUCCGCCGCCACUGGUCACCGUCACCUUGGCCGGACCCGGUUCCUGGACGGGGGUUUGGGAUGGAAGGAGGGGGAGGGAGGAGGAGAGGUCAAAUUGAGACUAGGGGAAAAAUGAGAAUAGAAGCGCAAAAUGCAUUUCAUUUUAGUACACAAAAAGAAGAAAUAAUCUGUGAUUUGAUUGAUGAAAGAAAUAAAAAUAAAAGCACUCAACUGAAA